AUUGAACGCUGGCGGCAGGCUUAACACAUGCAAGUCGAGCGGGGUGAGGUGCUUCGGUACUGAUCCUAGCGGCGGACGGGUGAGUAAUGCUUAGGAAUCUGCCAUUUAGUGGGGGACAACAUUCCGAAAGGAAUGCUAAUACCGCAUACGUCCUACGGGAGAAAGCAGGGGAUCUUCGGACCUUGCGCUAAAUGAUGAGCCUAAGUCGGAUUAGCUAGUUGGUGGGGUAAAGGCCUACCAAGGCGACGAUCUGUAGCGGGUCGGAGAGGAUGAGCGGCCACACUGGGACUGAGACACGACCCAGACUCCUACGGGAGGCAGCAGUGGUGAAUAUUGGACAAUGGGCGGAAGCCUGAUCCAGCCAUGCCGCGUGUGUGAAGAAGGCCUUUUGGUUGUAAAGCACUUUAAGCGAGGAGGAGGCUACCUGGAUUAAUACUCUAGGAUAGUGGACGUUACUCGCAGAAUAAGCACCGGCUAACUCUGUGCCAGCAGCCGCCGUAAGAC
rnacentral:rRNA from 1 species